GAUCUGGCUCAGGAUGAACGCUGGCAGCGUGCUUAACACAUGCAAGUCGAGCGAAGCACUUAGGAAAGAUUCUUCGGAUGAUUUCCUAUUUGACUGAGCGGCGGACGGGUGAGUAACGCGUGGGUAACCUGCCUCAUACAGGGGGAUAACAGUUAGAAAUGACUGCUAAUACCGCAUAAGACCACAGCACCGCAUGGUGCAGGGGUAAAAACUCCGGUGGUAUGAGAUGGACCCGCG
rnacentral:rRNA from 1 species